rnacentral:rRNA from 1 species
CUUGAAUUUUAUAAGAGGUCCAGCCUGCCCAGUGACUCUGUUCAACGGCCGCGGUAUCCUAACCGUGCGAAGGUAGCGUAAUCACUUGUUCUUUAAAUGAGGACUAGUAUGAAUGGCACUACGAGGGUUAUACUGUCUCCUUUUUCUAAUCAGUGAAAUUAAUUUUCCCGUGAAGAAGCGGGAAUAUGACUAUAAGACGAGAAGACCCUAUGGAGCUUUAAACAACCCAGCAAUUACUUCUAAAAAUUUUAAAUUUCAGAAUAUUCAUUUUUUUAAGUAAUAUGUCUGCAAGUUUUUGGUUGGGGUGACCAUGGAGAAUAACUUAACCUCCAUAUUGAAUGAACUCCAUUCUAAGCUGAAAAUUACCAAUUAAAGCAUCAACACACUGACAUUUAUUGACCCAAUAUAUUUGAUCAACGAAC